UUAAGCGACUAAGCGUACACGGUGGAUGCCCUGGCAGUCAGAGGCGAUGAAGGACGUGCUAAUCUGCGAUAAGCGUCGGUAAGGUGAUAUGAACCGUUAUAACCGGCGAUUUCCGAAUGGGGAAACCCAGUGUGUUUCGACACACUAUCAUUAACUGAAUCCAUAGGUUAAUGAGGCGAACCGGGGGAACUGAAACAUCUAAGUACCCCGAGGAAAAGAAAUCAACCGAGAUUCCCCCAGUAGCGGCGAGCGAACGGGGAGCAGCCCAGAGCCUGAAUCAGUGUGUGUGUUAGUGGAAGCGUCUGGAAAGGCGCGCGAUACAGGGUGACAGCCCCGUACACAAAAAUGCACAUGCUGUGAGCUCGAUGAGUAGGGCGGGACACGUGGUAUCCUGUCUGAAUAUGGGGGGACCAUCCUCCAAGGCUAAAUACUCCUGACUGACCGAUAGUGAACCAGUACCGUGAGGGAAAGGCGAAAAGAACCCCGGCGAGGGGAGUGAAAAAGAACCUGAAACCGUGUACGUACAAGCAGUGGGAGCACGCUUAGGCGUGUGACUGCGUACCUUUUGUAUAAUGGGUCAGCGACUUAUAUUCUGUAGCAAGGUUAACCGAAUAGGGGAGCCGAAGGGAAACCGAGUCUUAACUGGGCGUUAAGUUGCAGGGUAUAGACCCGAAACCCGGUGAUCUAGCCAUGGGCAGGUUGAAGGUUGGGUAACACUAACUGGAGGACCGAACCGACUAAUGUUGAAAAAUUAGCGGAUGACUUGUGGCUGGGGGUGAAAGGCCAAUCAAACCGGGAGAUAGCUGGUUCUCCCCGAAAGCUAUUUAGGUAGCGCCUCGUGAAUUCAUCUCCGGGGGUAGAGCACUGUUUCGGCAAGGGGGUCAUCCCGACUUACCAACCCGAUGCAAACUGCGAAUACCGGAGAAUGUUAUCACGGGAGACACACGGCGGGUGCUAACGUCCGUCGUGAAGAGGGAAACAACCCAGACCGCCAGCUAAGGUCCCAAAGUCAUGGUUAAGUGGGAAACGAUGUGGGAAGGCCCAGACAGCCAGGAUGUUGGCUUAGAAGCAGCCAUCAUUUAAAGAAAGCGUAAUAGCUCACUGGUCGAGUCGGCCUGCGCGGAAGAUGUAACGGGGCUAAACCAUGCACCGAAGCUGCGGCAGCGACGCUGAUGCGUUGUUGGGUAGGGGAGCGUUCUGUAAGCCUGUGAAGGUGUGCUGUGAGGCAUGCUGGAGGUAUCAGAAGUGCGAAUGCUGACAUAAGUAACGAUAAAGCGGGUGAAAAGCCCGCUCGCCGGAAGACCAAGGGUUCCUGUCCAACGUUAAUCGGGGCAGGGUGAGUCGACCCCUAAGGCGAGGCCGAAAGGCGUAGUCGAUGGGAAACAGGUUAAUAUUCCUGUACUUGGUGUUACUGCGAAGGGGGGACGGAGAAGGCUAUGUUGGCCGGGCGACGGUUGUCCCGGUUUAAGCGUGUAGGCUGGUUUUCCAGGCAAAUCCGGAAAAUCAAGGCUGAGGCGUGAUGACGAGGCACUACGGUGCUGAAGCAACAAAUGCCCUGCUUCCAGGAAAAGCCUCUAAGCAUCAGGUAACAUCAAAUCGUACCCCAAACCGACACAGGUGGUCAGGUAGAGAAUACCAAGGCGCUUGAGAGAACUCGGGUGAAGGAACUAGGCAAAAUGGUGCCGUAACUUCGGGAGAAGGCACGCUGAUAUGUAGGUGAAGUCCCUCGCGGAUGGAGCUGAAAUCAGUCGAAGAUACCAGCUGGCUGCAACUGUUUAUUAAAAACACAGCACUGUGCAAACACGAAAGUGGACGUAUACGGUGUGACGCCUGCCCGGUGCCGGAAGGUUAAUUGAUGGGGUUAGCGCAAGCGAAGCUCUUGAUCGAAGCCCCGGUAAACGGCGGCCGUAACUAUAACGGUCCUAAGGUAGCGAAAUUCCUUGUCGGGUAAGUUCCGACCUGCACGAAUGGCGUAAUGAUGGCCAGGCUGUCUCCACCCGAGACUCAGUGAAAUUGAACUCGCUGUGAAGAUGCAGUGUACCCGCGGCAAGACGGAAAGACCCCGUGAACCUUUACUAUAGCUUGACACUGAACAUUGAGCCUUGAUGUGUAGGAUAGGUGGGAGGCUUUGAAGUGUGGACGCCAGUCUGCAUGGAGCCGACCUUGAAAUACCACCCUUUAAUGUUUGAUGUUCUAACGUGGACCCGUAAUCCGGGUUGCGGACAGUGUCUGGUGGGUAGUUUGACUGGGGCGGUCUCCUCCUAAAGAGUAACGGAGGAGCACGAAGGUUGGCUAAUCCUGGUCGGACAUCAGGAGGUUAGUGCAAUGGCAUAAGCCAGCUUGACUGCGAGCGUGACGGCGCGAGCAGGUGCGAAAGCAGGUCAUAGUGAUCCGGUGGUUCUGAAUGGAAGGGCCAUCGCUCAACGGAUAAAAGGUACUCCGGGGAUAACAGGCUGAUACCGCCCAAGAGUUCAUAUCGACGGCGGUGUUUGGCACCUCGAUGUCGGCUCAUCACAUCCUGGGGCUGAAGUAGGUCCCAAGGGUAUGGCUGUUCGCCAUUUAAAGUGGUACGCGAGCUGGGUUUAGAACGUCGUGAGACAGUUCGGUCCCUAUCUGCCGUGGGCGCUGGAGAAUUGAGGGGGGCUGCUCCUAGUACGAGAGGACCGGAGUGGACGCAUCACUGGUGUUCGGGUUGUCAUGCCAAUGGCACUGCCCGGUAGCUAAAUGCGGAAGAGAUAAGUGCUGAAAGCAUCUAAGCACGAAACUUGCCCCGAGAUGAGUUCUCCCUGACUCCUUGAGAGUCCUGAAGGAACGUUGAAGACGACGACGUUGAUAGGCCGGGUGUGUAAGCGCAGCGAUGCGUUGAGCUAACCGGUACUAAUGAACCGUGAGGCUUAACCUU
rnacentral:rRNA from 1 species